UACGUAGGGUCCGAGCGUUGUCCGGAAUUACUGGGCGUAAAGCGCGCGCAGGCGGCCCGCGAGGUGUCACGUGAAAGCCCCGGGCUCAACCCGGGAGGGUCGUGGCAAACCGGCGGGCUUGAGGCCGGUAGAGGUGGGUGGAACUCCUGGUGGAGUGGUGAAAUUCGUAGAUAUCGGGAGGAACACCAGUGGCGAAGGCGGUUGCCUGGGGCUUUGCUGACGCUGAUGCGCGAAAGCGUGGGGAGCGAUCCGG
rnacentral:rRNA from 1 species